CAGCCGUAAACAAUGUGCGUUAGGUGUGUCGGUAACCACGUGUUACUGAUGCGCCGAAGAGAAAUCGUGAAACGCACCACCUGGGAAGUACGGUCGCAAGGCUGAAACUUAAAGGAAUUGGCGGGGGAGCACCACAACAGGUGGAGCCUGCGGUUUAAUUGGAUUCAACGCCGGACAUCUCACCGGAUAAGACAGCUGAAUGAUUGUCAAUCUGAAGGUUUUACAUGACUAGCUGAGAGGUGGUGCAUGGCGUAGUCGUUU
rnacentral:rRNA from 1 species